AGCAUUAUUUUAAUUGAAAAGGAAAAUGAAUUUUGAAUUAUAAUGCUAAGCCCAUGACUACAGGAAAAUAAAUUCCAUUAUAUCAAAUUUAUUAAUUUCAAAUUAUAGCGUUUCAAUUAAAAAGUAUCAUCUUGAACUUUGAUAUAGUUGAAUUUUAACACCGCAACAUAAUUUACAGCGCGUUUUAAUUUUGAAUUUUGACACUAUUAAAUUACUAAGUUCAUUCAAUAAUAUAUCUUUUAUUAUUUCAUCUUGCAUUCCAAGUUUUAUAUGUUGAUUAACUUUUCAAAUAGAAAUAGAGGACUUAAAGAAGUAUUUAUAUAGUAUUUAAUAUCAAUUGAUUUUCUUUUAAUAUAUCUUUUAAUAUCAAUUGAUAUAUUCAGUAAUUGGUGAGCUUUUAUAUUUGUUUAAGUAAAAUGAAGCACAUUGUUUAAUAGGUAAAUUUUUUAAAUUGAUUUUCUAUUUUGGAUAGAGCUAAAUUGAAAUCAUAUCUGACUAUGUUCAUUUAAAUUUAAAAAGUGUAAUGAUAGUCUUGUAAAAUUACUAUACUGUGCGUCAGACAAAUGAGAAACAUUCUCCGUUUAAAUUAAGAAUCAACAAGUGAGUGCAUUAACAUCCUCUCGGAAUCAACUUUCCUAUAAUCUUAGGCUUAACAUUUGUACAAAUAGAUUUUGCAGGACCCUUAGAUCCGGUGUACUGGAGGUUAACGUUAGAAAGUUCAACGUUCUUGCAUGGUACGCUGCUGCUGCAUGUCAAUUGAACGGCUGUGGGCGUUCUUGACGAUCCUCGAAUAUUCUUGAAGAUGACGUCGCUUAUUUUAACUUUUGAUGGCAUCUGCAAAAAGUCGCAAUAUUUUAGCAUAAUUGUAACACACCCAUAUAUAUAAAUUCUCCUUCUUGUUGUGAAAAAAAUAAAAAUUGAAAAGUUACCUUGCGAUUGCAUUCGUUAUGCGGGCAGUACAUUUGAUCUAUAAUGAUGGGAUUGCUGACGUUUUGCAUGACGAUAUCCUCGAACUGGAUAUUCGACACACUGCCACCAUGCAAUGCGGGCCAAGUCUUAAUUCUCACGCCAUUGUCGGUGUCGUAUAUUGUGCAAUUCUUCACAUAAAUUCCAGACACAGGUUCUUCCUUCUCGUACUUUCCUAAACUUCCAAUACUAAUGCCAUGCCCGUGUCCGCACCUUACGUUUGUGAUUCGUACUUGCCUGCUCCCCCGGCCAAUGGAGAUGCAAUCAUCACCGGUCAUAAUGUUUGAAUCAAUAAUGUUGAUCUCCUCCGACCGUCCAAUGUGAAUUCCAUCCGUGUUGGGACUAUGCCCCGGCGCUUUCACCGAAAAUCGCUGGAAGGUAAGGUUUUUGCUGCCGAGGAGAUUGACGUGGAACUGCUUGCUAUCUAUGGAUGUCACGUCCUCGACUAUGCUGUUGGUGACGAAGUCAAACCUUAGGUUCUGAUACAGUUUUGAUAGAACAGUUACGCAGAGAAAACGUAGUUAGUAUUACUGCCAUGAACGGGCCUAUGAAUGACCGUUAGUAAAGUAGCGUUCGGAUUUUCUUACAACUGGAAGUGCUUUCUUGCAUCCGCCGCCACAGCUCUCCCGCUGCCAAGCAAUUUCUCCUUGUCCGUCGAAGGCCCCACCACCGGAUACCGUUAAUCGGUCCAGGUAUCUCAAUGUAACCCAGCUAUUCUUGCGGUGCUGGCUAGCUUUUGCUGGCGCCACCAACGUUCCUUCCACUUGAAGAUGCAUGGCACCCUUGCAAGGGCCUAGCAAAUCCACCACGCCUAAUGAGUACUUCCCUUUUGGUAUCACGACUUUGCCGGAACCCGCUGCUCCACAAGCCCCCUUCCACGCACUCAGUAAAGCCUAAAAACGAAAACGGCAAUGAAAGACCUGACAGCAAUAAUCUAGGAAAUACCGUCGCGAUAUCGAGAACCGAGUUUACUUUCAUACCUUAGUGAUAUCCGACCCCUCCUUCGCACCAUAUUUUGUGACAUCAAAGGUAUUGGGCUGAGCUCCGCUGGUAAAGGCGAACAGUAACACCAAAUAUGCUGCGCACACAUGUACCUUGGAACCCAUAUCUCUCUUUUCAAGGCGCUUCCUCUCCUUCGAUAUCUACAGCCUAUAUUGAUUUCUAAAUGUUUGUGCAUUUCUCCUCCUCUGUAAGGCCUUUUAUAUUUCAGGCGGCUCGUUUAAUUUACUCAAGGUUUAUUACAGGCUGUAGCAUUUUCAUACAUCCCGUUUUCUGUUUUUCCUUUUUGUUUUGCGUUAAAUGUUUUGAGCUUAAAAAAAAAAAGGCCUACGUACGCUAACCUGCAACUAAAAACUACAACUUCCGCAUUUCUCUCUAACAUAUUCUUUUAUAUUGGAACCCUGUAUAACUUAUGCAACAACCUCUUCGUUCUCCCACAAUAUUCUGGACGUAUUGGACGCGAAACGAGCCCGGAGACCGCACCCGCAAUUCAUUUCCUCACGCGUGCAUGUAGGACAAAAUUUUGACAAGUACAGUGCAACAUGAAAAGAGGAAAA